GGAGACCACUCCGUAAGGCUAAAUACUACUCAGUGACCGAUAGCGCAUAGUACUGUGAAGGAAAGGUGAAAAGGACCCCGGGAGGGGAGUGAAAGAGAACCUGAAACCCUGUGUUUACAAGCUGUCGAAGCACGAAAGUGCGACGGCGUACUUUUUGUAGAACGGUCCGGCGAGUUAUGAUGAGUGGUAAGGUUAAGGACUUAAGGUCCGGAGCCGAAGCGAAAGCGAGUGUUAAAAGCACGGUUGAAUCGCUUAUCAUAGACCCGAAACCGGGUGAUCUAUCCAUGUCCAGGUUGAAGCUGCCGUAAGAGGUAGUGGAGGACCGAACACACAUCCGUUGAAAAGGGUGGUGAUGAGGUGUGGAUAGGGGAGAAAUUCCAAUCGAACCCGGAGAUAGCUGGUUCUCCUCGAAAUAGCUUUAGGGCUAGCCUCUGGUUAGUCUGCCGCAGGUAGAGCACUGAAUUUCCUAGGGGGCGUCAAAGCCUACCGAAGAAUAUCAAACUGCGAAUGGCGGACAGAUGAUGCCAGGGAGUCAGACUGCACGAGAUAAGUUGGGUGGUCAAAAGGGAAAGAGCCCAGACCUACAGCUAAGGUCCCAAAGUGUGUGUUAAGUGGAAAAGGAUGUGGGAUUUCGAAGACAACUAGGAUGUUGGCUCAGAAGCAGCCACACAUUAAAAGAGUGCGUAAUAGCUCACUAGUCGAGAGGUCCUGCGCCGAAAAUGUCCGGGGCUAAAACACAACACCGAAGCUUAGGAAUUCUUUUGAAUUGGUAGAGGAGCAUUGAAGACGGAACGAAGCCAUACCGAAAGGAAUGGUGGACUGUCUUGAAGAGAGAAUGCCGGAAUGAGUAGCGAGAUUGAAGUGAGAAUCUUCAAGGCCGAAUAUCUAAGGUUUCCAGGGUAAAGCUGAUCUGCCCUGGGUAAGUCGGGGCCUAAGGCAAGGUCGAAAGACGUAGUCGAUGGAUAACAGGUUGAAAUUCCUGUACUGCAUCAAAUCAGAAAUGUGGGGACACAUGAGGGAAGCAUGAGCCGGAAAAGGAAAGUCCGGUACAAGCGCAGCAGAGGACAGAUAGGAAAAACCGUCUGUCAACUCGAGGGCGUGAUGUGGAGCGAACCAAAGUAGCGAAGCAUGUGGAGCUUGUGUCGAGAAAAGCCGCUAUAGUGUUUGAUGUACCCGUACCGUAAACCGACACAGGUGGAUGAGGAGAGAAUCCUAAGGCCGGCGGGAGAAGCAUUGUUAAGGAACUCGGCAAAAUGACCCCGUAACUUCGGGAGAAGGGGUGCUCCAGAGAUGGAGCCGCAGAGAACUGGCCCAAGCAACUGUUUAGCAAAAACACAGGUCUAUGCAAAACCGAAAGGUGAGGUAUAUGGGCUGACGCCUGCCCGGUGCUGGAAGGUUAAGAGGAGAUGUUAAUCGCAAGGUGAAGCAUUGAAUUUAAGCCCCAGUAAACGGCGGCCGUAACUAUAACGGUCCUAAGGUAGCGAAAUUCCUUGUCGGGUAAGUUCCGACCCGCACGAAAGGCGUAAUGAUUUGGGCACUGUCUCGACAAUGCACCCGGUGAAAUUGAAAUACCAGUGAAGAUGCUGGUUACCUGCGCCAGGACGGAAAGACCCCAUGGAGCUUUACUCUAGCUUGAUACUGGGGUUCGGUAUUGCAUGUACAGGAUAGGUGGGAGACUGAGAAGAUGUGUCGCCAGAUGCAUCAGAGUCGAUGUUGGGAUACCACCCCUGCAGUACUGGGCUUCUAACCUGCAGCCGUGACCCGGCUGGGGGACAAUGUCUGGUGGGGAGUUUGACUGGGGCGGUCGCCUCCGAAAGAGUAUCGGAGGCGCUCAAAGGUUCCCUCAGAAUGGUUGGAAACCAUUCGAAGAGCGCAAAGGCAGAAGGGAGCUUGACUGCGACACCGACGGGUGGAGCAGGUACGAAAGUAGGACUUAGUGAUCCGGUGGUAUGAAAGUGGGAUUGCCAUCGCUCAACGGAUAAAAGCUACCCUGGGGAUAACAGGCUUAUCACUCCCAAGAGUUCACAUCGACGGAGUGGUUUGGCACCUCGAUG
rnacentral:rRNA from 1 species